rnacentral:piRNA from 1 species
UGAGACCUAAUCUGGAGAAAAGUCAUGGUGU